GCAUUAAGUACACGAUGGGGAUGGGCAUGAAGCCAGCCAGCAGCAGCAGCAGGCUCACGAACAUUGCCCAUCCAGGAUAUGGGACGUCCAUGGCUUUCCCCUGUUAUGGUCAUAGAAGAGUACGUUAAAACCAAGCCAAGUUAUUACAGAUGUCUCACGCAACUGGACUCACACGGCACCGCGGCCACACAGCUGAGCUCAGUUCUUACCGCGCGCCACUUGAACAACAAUACAGUACCCACGCUGCCACGCUACUCAACAACAACAACACCCUCGCUGCUGUGCUACCACGAGGGGAAGGGCAGCCAGAGGAGGAGCCACGAGAGGGAGAGGAGUCAGAGUGAUACAGUAGGCAAUAAAGGUACAAACCUA